GAUUCGCGAAAGAGUAUCCCGACCCAAGCUCUUCCCCUUUCCCCUUAUCCUCUCGCUGUCCGCUCCUUUUCUCUCUUUCUCCGUGUGAAAUCGCUACGGGAGAGCGUCCCCGUCGCCGACGAACACAAGGAGCACCGCCAGGCUGCUGCCGCCAAUCGCGAGCGAGAGGGCUUCCGUCGCUACCGCCGGGAACGCCGCCGGAGAUGAGCACGCAGCAGGGAGGGCUCCUCCGCCGUCGAGCUCGAGGAGGCGCCGUUGUGAGGGCUCCGCCAAGCGCCGCGACGAGCGCGAGGAGAUGACUUCCGUCCCUAAUACGGGGACGCUGCGAGCCGACGAGAUGAAGCAGGGAGUUCUCCGACAGGCCGUCGGGACGAGCGCGAGGAGAGGGCUUCCGCCGCUACCGCGGGGACGCCGGCGACGAUGAGCACAUAGCGGAGAGGGCUCCUCCUCCGUUGAGCUCGAGAGGCGCGGCGCAGGGAGGCCUUCUCUACGUCGCCGUGACGAGCGCGAGGACAGAGGACCUCCGUCCCUAGUCCCUACUGCGGGACGUCGCCGUCGACGGGCAUGAAGCGGGGAGGGCUCCUCCAAGCUGUCGCAAUGAGUGCGAGGAGACGGCUGCUUCCUCGCCGGGACGCCGCCGCCGAGCUCACAUCGGGGCUUUCUCUGAGGUCGCCAUAUUCCUCCCCAGGCAAUAAUGUUCAGCAACGGAGCAAAAUCAAAGACUGGGGAAAUCUGCUGACAAUGUCGUAGAAUGAUGCAAGACUGAACCUAUGUAAUAAUAGACUAGAGCCAUGACAUUUAUUAUCGAUGUGCACCUUACUGUAUUUAAGCAUUUUUCAAUGUCAGAUGCGUUCGCAGCAA